CAGUCGCCGCGGUAAGACGGGAGAUGCUAGCGUUGUUCGGAAUCAUUGGGCUUAAAGCGCGUGUAGGCGGCUCGGUAAGUACCUUGUGAAAUCCCACGUCUCAACCGUGGAACUGCUUGGUCUACUGCCGGGCUCGAGGCUGGUAGAGGUGCCUGGAACUCUAGGUGGAGCGGUGAAAUGCGUAGAUAUCUAGAGGAACGCCCGUGGCGAAAGCGGGGCACUGGGCCAGUCCUGACGCUGAGACGCGAAAGCGUGGGGAGCAAACGGGAUUAGAUACCCCGGUAGUCCCUGUCUCUUAUAA
rnacentral:rRNA from 1 species